CUCUCCGAAGCCCAAAAGCCAUGAGGCCAAGCAACGAUGGAAUGAGUUCCUCAAACCCAGAAGCAAAACGAUUAUUUCUUCCUUUUCAAUUUCUUCCAUCCAGUAUCUUGUCACAGUGCAGGACACGAUGGGUUCCAAACACAUUUACAGUAGACUAUUGAUUUCAUCAGUGAUUGAUCGCUCUAAAGUAAGACAACCACUUUAAAAGACAAAAUAAAAAAAAAUAAAUAAAAGCUUGUUGAGGUGAGCUGAUAGCAGAAAUCUCUGUCAAACUGGAGGGCAAUGAUAGGCUGGCUAGUCUGAAGAACACACACGUGGAAAUGAGGUCAGGAAAGUGCAGGAAACGGAACCAUGUCAACAGCUGAGAGGCUGAUGGAGACGGAAAUGAGAGGUCCGAUAAAGAGCUCAUUUUGAAAUGUCUAUAAAGAAGAAAGCAACACUAGAGAGAAGGUCUAGCUGUACAGCAAGGAAACUGCACAGAAGAUGUGUGUAUACAGACACAUAUACAUGCUGUGGAAAAGUCAAGACUUCAAAGACAGACUCCGGCAUCUCUACCUAACACUGGAAAAUACAGGUCAGGAAUCUAUCCUUGCAUAGAGAGGUUUCUUCCUUGAAGUUCAGAAAAGGAUGGAUGCUGUCAGUACUACCACCAAAAUUUAAACCUAUAAAACCCUUCAAUCAAA